CGAACGAGCUUAAAGAGCUUGCUUUUUAAGCUUAGUGGCGAACGGGUGAGUAACGCGUGAGUACCUGCCCUAGAGUGGGGGACAACAGUUGGAAACGACUGCUAAUACCGCAUAAGACCGCAUGGUAAAAGAUUUAUCGCUUUAGGAUGGACUCGCGUCCAAUUAGCUAGUUGGUGGGGUAACGGCCCAUCAAGGCACGAUUGGUAGCCGGACUGAGAGGUUGAACGGCCACAUUGGGACUGAGACACGGCCCAGACUCCUACGGGAGGCAGCAGUGGGGGAUAUUGCACAAUGGGGGAAACCCUGAUGCAGCGACGCCGCGUGGAGGAAGAAGGUUUUCGGAUUGUAAACUCCUGUCGUUAGGGACGAUAAGACGGUACCUAACAAGAAAGCACCGGCUAACUACGUGCCAGCAGCCGCGGUAAAACGUAGGGUGCAAGCGUUGUCCGGAAUUACUGGGUGUAAAGGGAGCGCAGGCGGGAAGCAAGUUGGAAGUGAAAACCAUGGGCUCAACCCAUGAAUUGCUUUCAAAACUGUUUUUCUUGAGUAAUGCAGAGGUAGAUGGAAUUCCCGGUGUAGCGGUGGAAUGCGUAGAUAUCGGGAGGAAC
rnacentral:rRNA from 1 species